rnacentral:lncRNA from 1 species
UUGUAAAAAAUGAACUGUGUGAGCUGCUAUAUAUCAAUGAGAAUCCCUGAGAGUCUUCUUUCUAAUGCAAUUGGUUUCACCCAAAUCCAUUAUCGGAGCAAAGAGUUAUGGUCAAUUUACUUUAGCCUAUCAAAACAGUCCACCAUGGACAGAUUCGGAUUUACUUAAAUUUUAAGGGCAAUAUGGUCAUUUUCCAUCACCUCAUGGACGAAAAUUGGUCAUUAUAUACAUAUACUUAGCCUCAUAUCCAUCAUUUAUCAUCCAAAUUAUUGAAGAAUAAGAAACCCUAGCCUAAGUUCAACUCCAAUUAUCUUGUGAUUCAACCGUAGAAAAUCCAAAUUGAUUCCGUAGUUGUGUUCACCGUCUCGAGGGCUUCGAGAAGCACCCCUUAUUUGUGCCAACAGGACUUCGAAAUCAAAAGGGCCAUUUUAUGGUAAGGAUGUAAAUUAUGUUGGUGUUAUUUAUAUGGAUAUGUAUAUAUAUAUAUAUGCAUGUGAGCAUAAGAAGUAUGUUAUUUGAUUGUUGUUGAAAGAUGAUUGGAAAUGAUGUUGGAUUAUUCUUGUGCAUAGUUGGAUUAUGUUGAAUUGUGAAGGGAUUUGGUGUGAUGAUGUGGUAUUGAAAUGAUGAUUAUAUAUAUAUACACACAUAAACCGAUUGUUCAAGUUGGUUUUUGGAAUGCUUUGCAAAUAUUGGUUGUAUGGAAUUAUGGAAGAGAAUUGUGGUGUUGGGUUGCUAAUACUAGAUGCCAAACAUUUCAUUGUAGAUAAGUGAUUUGUAAAGGCGGGAAGUUGUGUUGAAUUGGUAUCCGAAUCUACAACGAGGUAUGUAAAGCAUACUCUAACAAUGUUCUUUGGCAUGAAAACACCAAUGUUCCAUCAAGUAAGAUUCCGAGGUUGUCCAAAAACAUGUAUUGUUCUACAUUACCAACGAAGUUGUUUCCAUUCUAUAAAGUGUCAAAAUGUUUCAUUGAUAUACCAAAAGGCUCCUAUUUCAUUGUUGUGAUAUUGAUGAUUCCGAAACACAUUGUUGAUGUACCAAUGAGUCUUUAUUACAUCGUUAUUGUAUAGAAAGUCUAUUACUUGGUUCCUAUUGAUGUAUCAUUAUUCCAAAGGUACUAUAUUGGCAUGAACACUAAUGUAAUAAUCUCAAAAGCUUUUGAACUAAGUUAUUGGAAAGAUCUCUUAUGUGUGUUACUUGAUAUACGUGUGGGUGGUAGCUCAGGGGCUUAAGCCUAGCAUGGGCCGAUCCCGAUAUUUGAUAUGAUUACAGUUGAUAUGUACUGGGGGCAGCCUAAUGGUCACAGUACGGUACAGUAUUGAUUAUUGUUAGGUGGUUGGAGGUUCGGGAGGAGGAGGUAAUGGCGAAUGAUAAUUGUAAAGAAUAAAAUGAACGAAUGUAUACCGUUCCACAAAUGUGUUUGAAUUCAAGAACCCAAUUCAGAUUAAUGAUAAUGUACAUGAUCCUAAAAGUGUUUAUGAAGUGUGGUUCACUUCUAUUAUGAUUUAUUCACUUGCGUCUGAUUUUCUUGAUCCCCCAUAUCACAUAUGAUUAUUUACAGCUUUACAUACUCAGUACAUAUUUCGUACUGACGUCCCUCACGGGGGACCUACAUUUCAUGCUGCAGGCACAGGUGCUUUAGCUCAUUCACAGCAUAGAUAGGAGCCAGGUCAUACAGCUAUUGUUGGUGAGCUCCAGUUUGCUUCGGAGCUUUCCGAGUCGGUCCCUUAUGUUUUGUUAUUGUACAGGAGUCAUGUGUGGGCGGGGGUUUGUCCCGACCCUAGUUAUGUCAUGUAUAUCCUAGAGGCUUUGUAGACAUAAGGAAGGGUAAAGUCAUGGAAGUUUAUAUAGUAAUGUUAUAUUUGUAUAUGUGGUGGCCCCGACGGCCAAUUAUUAUAUAUAUAUAUAUAUUUGUGCGUGUUGUGCUGAUACAGGUAAUUAGACCCUUCUAUAUGCAACGAAGUACUGUCCACAUUUUUGGUGACAUGAAAGUGAAAGUACAGGUAUUUAAACGGGUUCUCCCGGGCCUUCUCGGCUUCGGGUGCCAGUCCGGCCCGAUGGGAUUUUGGGGCAUGACAAAAGUGGUAUCAGAGAGGUUCGUCCUAGUGAGUCUACAAAGCCGUGUCUACAUAGAGUCUUAUUUAUCAGUGUGUUGUGCACCACAUCUAUAAACAGGAGGCUAUGGACAUUUAGGAAAUUGUUUCUUUUUUUCAGAUCAUAGAUCGUGCCAUAGAGUUUAUAUAGCAAAUGAAGUCAUAGUUGGCCACUGAAUCUAUUUGUUUCUCUUAUUACAGUAAGAAUGCCGGAUACUGAAAAUAAGAAUACCGGUGAGCGGGUAGACGUAGCUGCCGGAGAAGGGACUAGUAAGUCACCACCUGUACAAGUUAAUCAGAGUGAAGCUCAAGUUUAGCGGGUAUCUGAAAUGUCUUCCACUCCAGAUGGAAUAAGGGGGAGGCGAACCACAUUCACAGAACCACUUGUUAAUGCUGCUGAUCAGGAUAUGAGGGAUGCAGUACAACUGUUGACCCGAAUUGUUGCUGGUUAAGUCCUAGGGCAAGCUAUUCGUGCUGCGGGUUCUAGCGGUACUGAUAGGGCGGCUAGUCUUCGGACGCAAGAUUUUCUUAAGAUGGAUCCACCUACUUUUACCGGAUCCGAUCUUAACGAAGAUCCGCAGGACUUUAUUGAUCAGAUCCAAAGGGCCCUAGAGGUGAUGCAUGUAUCGGGCAGAGAGACAGUGGAGUUAGCUGUGUGUAGAUUCAAAGGUGAGGCUAUAUAUUGGUAUGAAGACUGGAAACGGUCAAGGGGCAUUGAUGCACCCCCAGCUACUUAGAAAGAGUUCAAAGAGGCAUUUAUUGAUCAUUAUCUUCCAUAUGAGACUCGUCAGGCCCGUGCGGAUCAGUUCUUAAAUCUUCGACAGGGUAAUACAAGUAUGAGGGAGUAUAGUUUUCGAUUUAAUUCCUUGUCCAGAUAUGCUCCUAAUGUUAUAGUUACUAUGGAUGACAGAGUUCAUCGGUAUGUGGAUGAAUUGGAUCUGUAUUUGGUUAGGGGCAGUCAAUUUGGGAAAAGAAAUGAGGGUCAUAGUUCACGAUCAGUGGGUUAUCAUGGGCAAGGGAACAUGAGCCAAUCGAGACCUUCUCGAGAGCUAUGUAAUCGAUGCGGAAAGCAUCAUAUGGGCGUAUGUCGAAUGGGAACAAAUGUUUGUUUUUGGUGCGGUAUGACGGGGCAUAUGAUGAGAGAAUGCCCACGAAGGGGCGCAGGUGGCAUAGCACGACCUUCGGGAUCAGCUGUUGCAUCAUCGUCACCGGUAUCUUAUUCUGGUAGAGUCGCACAACCUGCAGGUCACGCUAGAAAUGAAAAAAGAGUCGUCGGUUCCAGCGAGACUCAGAAUCGCACUUAUGCUUUAGCGGAUUGAUAGAAUCUAGAGGCUUCCCCAGAUGUGGUUACGGGUACGUUGCCCAUAUUUUCAUUUGAUGUAUAUGCUUUAAUUGAUCCGGAUUCUACAUUAUCAUAUAUUACUCCUUUGGUUGCUAAAAAGUUCAAAAGAACCCCCAAAUUGUUAGAUAAGCCGUUGGAAGUGUUUACCCCGGUUGGGGAAUCUAUUAUUGCUAGAAAAGUUUAUAAAGAUUGUGUAGUAACUGUGUGUGGUCGAGAAACGAUGGCCAAUCUUGUGGAACUAGAAAUGGUAGAUUUUGACGUUAUAAUGGGUAUGGAUUGGUUGGCGUCUUGUUAUGCCAAAAUUGACUGUUGUACGAAAAAGAUGUAUUUACAUUUUCCUAAUGAAGCAGUUAUUGAAUGGCAAGGUAAGAUUGGCGCACCAAGAGGUAGAUUUAUUUCUUAUUUCAAAGUGAGAAAAAUGAUUUCCAAGGGCUACAUAUGUCAUUUAGUUAGAGUAAAGGAUACGGAAUCGGAAUCACCAGAUCUUCACACUGUACCAGUAGUAAGUGAAUUUCUUGAUAUAUUCCCUGAAGAUCUUCCAGGUUUACCUCCUGAACGAGAAGUAGAAUUUGGUAUUGAUGUGAUACCUGGCACUAAGCCAAUCUCAAUUCCUCCGUAUAGGAUGGACCCGGCAGAAUUACGAGAAUUGAAAGAGCAAUUGAAAGAUUUGCUAGAAAAGGGGUUCAUUAGGCCUAGUAUUUCCCCUUGGGGAGCACCAGUGCUAUUUGUGCGCAAGAAAGAUGGCACAUUGAGAAUGUGAAUUGAUUAUAGGCAGUUGAAUAAAGAGACUCUUAAAAAUAAAUAUCCUCUUCCAAGAAUUGAUGAUUUAUUUGAUCAGUUACAGGGUGCCAAAUGUUUUUCUAAGAUUGAUUUGAGGUCAGGUUAUCAUCAAGUGAGAGUUAAAGAAAAAGAUAUACCCAAAACAGCUUUCUAAAUAAGGUAUGGUCAUUAUGAGUUUCUAGUUAUGUCAUUUGGGCUAACUAAUGCACCUGCAGCUUUCAUGGAUUUAAUGAAUAGGGUGUUUAAGCCAUUUCUAGAUGUAUUCGUGAUAGUUUUCAUUGAUGAUAUUCUAGUUUAUUCUAGAUCAGAAGAGGAUCAUUCUAAUCAUUUGCGACAGGCAUUGCAAACUCUUCGUGAUUGCAAGCUGUAUGCAAAAUUUUCUAAAUGUGAAUUUUGGCUAAAGUCAGUGGCAUUUCUGGGCCAUAUUGUAUCAAAUGAAGGCAUACAGGUUGAUACUCAAAAGAUAGAAGCUGUGAAGAAUUGGCCAAGGCCCACAACGCCUACGGAGAUUCGUAGUUUUCUUGGGUUGGCUGGUUAUUAUAGAAAGUUUGUUGAGGGUUUUUCUUCCAUUUCAGGACCCUUAACUAAGCUAACGCAUAAAGCAUCCAAGUUCCAAUGGAAUGAUGCGUGUGAGGAGAGUUUCCAAGAAUUGAAGAAUAAGUUGACUUCUACACCUGUGUUGGUACUUCCAGAAGGUACAGAAGGGUAUACAGUGUAUUGUGAUGCUUCGAGAAUUGGUUUAGGAUGUGUAUUAAUGCAGCAUAGUAAGGUGAUAGCAUAUGCCUCAAGGCAAUUGAGGCCACAUGAGAAAAAUUACCCCACACAUGAUCUUGAGCUGGCAGCGGUUAUCUUUGCUUUAAAAAUAUGGCGCCACUAUUUAUAUGGGGUUCAUCUUGAUAUAUAUACUGAUCACAAGUGCUUACAAUGUAUUUUCAGUCAGAAGGAUCUAAAUCUGAGGCAACGAAGGUGGAUGGAACUAUUAAAAGAUUAUGAUGUUGAUAUUUUGUAUCACCCAGGGAAAGCGAAUAUAGUAGCUGAUGCGUUGAGUCGUAAGGCUAUGAUGGCACCUGUAGAAAGGCAAGGGAUGAUUAAAGAUCUUCAUCAAUUAGCUAGUCUAGGAGUUCGUCUUCUCGAAACUCCGGACGAGGAGCUUAUUGUGCAUAAUGUCGCGGAAUCCUCAUUAGUAGCUGAGGUGAAAGAGAAGCAAGAUGCAGAUCCCAGGAUCAACCAAAAUGUAUCAAGAUUUGAAAGAUAUGUAUUGGUGGAAUGACAUGAAGAAGAGCAUUGCAGAAUUUGUAGCUGAAUGUCCAAAUUGUCAAAGAGUUAAAGUUGAGCACCAAAAACCCGGAGGCUAUAUGCAAUGCAUAGAUCUUCCAAUUUGGAAGUGGGACAUGAUCAACAUGGAUUUUGUUACAGGUUUGCCUCGUACAGCUCGAAAAUUUGAUUCUAUAUGGGUGAUUGUGGAUAGGCUUACUAAAUCCGCACAUUUCUUACCCGUUAAGACCACUUACACAGUUGAAGAAUAUUCGAAGCUGUAUGUUAAAGAAAUAGUCCGAUUACAUGGAGUGCCAACUUCUAUUAUAUCGGAUCGGGGAACUCAAUUUACUGCAAACUUUUGGAAGUCUUUCCAACGGGGUUUGGGAACACAAGUGAAUCUGAGUACAGCUUUUCACCCUCAGACGGAUGGACAAGCAGAGCGCACCAUUCAAACACUUGAAGAUAUGCUACGAGCAUGUGUUAUAGAUUUUAAAGGCAGCUGGGAUGAUCAUUUACCUCUUAUUGAGUUUGCCUACAAUAAUAGCUAUCAUUCAAGUAUCAAAAUGGCACCAUAUGAAGCUUUAUAUGGGAGAAAGUGUAGAUCACCAAUAGGAUGGUUCGAAGCGGGUGAAACUCUUAUGUUCGGACCGGAUCUUGUGUAUCAAGCCAUAGAAAAAGUCAAGGUGAUACAACAACGGCUAAAAACAGCCCAAAGUCGUCAUAAAUCAUAUGCAGAUAUUCGGAGAAGAGGGCUGGAAUUCUCUAUUGGAGAUUGGGUAUUUUUAAAGGUAUCACCAAUGAAAGGGGUUAUGAGAUUUGGUAAAAAAGGGAAACUAAGCCCACGUUACAUAGGGCCAUAUAAGAUUACCAAGAGGGUCGGACAAGUUGCAUAUGAAUUAGAGCUACCCCAGGAACUUUCAAUGGUUCAUCCAGUGUUUCAUGUGUCAAUGCUUCGAAAAUGCAUAGGUGACCCCUCUCGUAUCACUCCUAUAGAAGAUGUACAGGUCACAGAGGAUCUUACUUAUGAAGAGGUACCGGUUGCUAUUCUAGAUCGCCAAGUUAAAAAGUUAAGGAACAAAGAAAUGGCAUCAGUAAAGGUACUUUGGAGAAAUCAACAAAGGGAAGAGAUUACAUGGGAAGCUGAGGAAGCAAUGAAAUCUAAGUACCCUCAUUUGUUCAAAGAUGAAGAGGAAGUUCAAGAAACGGAGUUAGAACAUUAACAAGUAAGUUUUUGUUUAUAUAUGCAUAGUAUUUAUGUGAUGAUGUGAAUGUUAAUGGUGGACUUGAACUUGUUUCGGCUAAAUAACUACAUUCACAUUCGAGGACGAAUGUCCUUAAGGGGGGAAGGAUGUAACACCCCGUACUUAAUUACGUGCAUUAGUCAUUGUUAUAUGUGUUGGGGUAUAUGUAUUGAUCCUAAGUUAGGUAUAUAUGAGUUUAAGUAUGAGUAUUGAUUAUUUUGAGAUGGUUUCAAGUGUAUAGUUUGAUUAUAGGUGUAUAGGAAUCGACUUUAUUUAUAUCGGAAUUUUCCCGUCGAUGGUUCCAUACGAAGGUUAUUGAAUAAGCUUUCCAACGAUAUAAAGAUUUCCAAAAACGGAUAAGUUUCGGAUAUAAGCGAGCUCGUUCGAAACUUUAAAACGGUGGCCGGGAUGUGAACAGUAAAAUGUGCAGGAAACUACUGAGGCCUGCCAGUUUUUUGGGUCAACUUUGAACGAUCAUAACUCCCUCAAUAUAAUGAACUGGUUGAGCUACCAUAUAUCAAAAGAAAGAUCUUUGAGUCUUCUUUCCAAUGAAAUUGGUUUCAUCCAAAUCCAACAUCUGAGUAAGGAGUUAUACUCGUUUUACUUCAGCCUCUCAAAACAGAUUUUUAGGGUCAACUUCAAACGAUCAUAACUACUUGUACAGGACGAACUGGGUGGAUUAAUUUAUAUUAAAUGAAAUACCUUUGAAUUAUCUUUCUAACGAUACCAAUUUCACCCAAAUCCGAUAUCGGAGCAAAGAGUUAUGGCCGAUUUACUUUAGCCUAUCAAAACAGUCCACCAUGGACAGAUUCGGAUUUACUUAAAUUUUUAAGGGCAAUAUGGUCAUUUUCCAUCACCUCAUGGACGAAAAUUGGUCAUUAUAUACAUAUACUUAGC